UACAUUAAGACUCACUCUCUAAUCUCUAAAUUAUCAUUCUCUCUUAAUUCCUAUCUAAAUUCUCGAUUGCUUCCAAUUACCAAAUUAGUUCCAAAUUUUGAUUGUCAAGACUCGGCUGAUUCCAGCUUUCCAAAUCAGUUUCCAAGAUUUCCCAAAACAAGAAAGAUGUCCGGGCGACAAAAAGUGAAGCCGAAGAAGAAACGACUCCACGCCAGCUUUAAGAACGUUUAAGGUUGAGCAGGCGAUGGAAUGGUUUGGUAUUGAGCGGGAAUUCUUUUGAUGGAUAUGUAAAGAAACCUUGAGUAUGCAUCUCCAUAUGCAUAACUCACACGUUUUCCGUUGCAAACACUCUGAAUUUGUUAUCAUAUUGUGGAACUUGUUACUCUUUCAUUUUGUUUAACUUUCACGUGGAACUAGUCGUUAUGGCAUAAUCGUUUGUAAAUUACCCAAGCAGUUGUUUAUAUAU